AUGCAAGUCGAGCGGGGGAAGGUAGCUUGCUACCGGACCUAGCGGCGGACGGGUGAGUAAUGCUUAGGAAUCUGCCUAUUAGUGGGGGACAACAUCUCGAAAGGGAUGCUAAUACCGCAUACGUCCUACGGGAGAAAGCAGGGGAUCUUCGGACCUUGCGCUAAUAGAUGAGCCUAAGUCGGAUUAGCUAGUUGGUGGGGUAAAGGCCUACCAAGGCGACGAUCUGUAGCGGGUCUGAGAGGAUGAUCCGCCACACUGGGACUGAGACACGGCCCAGACUCCUACGGGAGGCAGCAGUGGGGAAUAUUGGACAAUGGGGGGAACCCUGAUCCAGCCAUGCCGCGUGUGUGAAGAAGGCCUUAUGGUUGUAAAGCACUUUAAGCGAGGAGGAGGCUACUUUAGUUAAUACCUAGAGAUAGUGGACGUUACUCGCAGAAUAAGCACCGGCUAACUCUGUGCCAGCAGCCGCGGUAAUACAGAGGGUGCGAGCGUUAAUCGGAUUUACUGGGCGUAAAGCGUGCGUAGGCGGCUUAUUAAGUCGGAUGUGAAAUCCCCGAGCUUAACUUGGGAAUUGCAUUCGAUACUGGUGAGCUAGAGUAUGGGAGAGGAUGGUAGAAUUCCAGGUGUAGCGGUGAAAUGCGUAGAGAUCUGGAGGAGUACCGAUGGCGAAGGCAGCCAUCUGGCCUAAUACUGACGCUGAGGUACGAAAGCAUGGGGAGCAAACAGGAUUAGAUACCCUGGUAGUCCAUGCCGUAAACGAUGUCUACUAGCCGUUGGGGCCUUUGAGGCUUUAGUGGCGCAGCUAACGCGAUAAGUAGACCGCCUGGGGAGUACGGUCGCAAGACUAAAACUCAAAUGAAUUGACGGGGGCCCGCACAAGCGGUGGAGCAUGUGGUUUAAUUCGAUGCAACGCGAAGAACCUUACCUGGCCUUGACAUACUAGAAACUUUCCAGAGAUGGAUUGGUGCCUUCGGGAAUCUAGAUACAGGUGCUGCAUGGCUGUCGUCAGCUCGUGUCGUGAGAUGUUGGGUUAAGUCCCGCAACGAGCGCAACCCUUUUCCUUACUUGCCAGCAUUUCGGAUGGGAACUUUAAGGAUACUGCCAGUGACAAACUGGAGGAAGGCGGGGACGACGUCAAGUCAUCAUGGCCCUUACGGCCAGGGCUACACACGUGCUACAAUGGUCGGUACAAAGGGUUGCUACACAGCGAUGUGAUGCUAAUCUCAAAAAGCCGAUCGUAGUCCGGAUUGGAGUCUGCAACUCGACUCCAUGAAGCCGGAAUCGCUAGUAAUCGCGGAUCAGAAUGCCGCGGUGAAUACGUUCCCGGGCCUUGUACACACCGCCCGUCACACCAUGGGAGUUUGUUGCACCAGAAGUAGCUAGCCUAACUGCAA
rnacentral:rRNA from 1 species